GGUAAAAAUGUUCUCCAUUCCUGUGCUGAUCCAUGGUUCCUUCUAAAAUUAAAUCAAGGAACUAUUGAGUUUUGGUUCUUUUGUUCAACAAGUGCAACUGAAUUCAUCAUCAAUUAGUUUAUUAAAAUUUACUUAAAAAUACAAUAAAGAACUAAGGAAGGUUAAUUACAUAUGACAAUUUCCUGCCAUAUGCCAUUCUGCAGCAUCACCAGCAAGAUCAGGUCUCAAACACUUCCUCCACUCCCAUCAGUUGCUGGGCAAUUCAUCAUCCUCUUAUCAACCAUGACCAUUGAACGAAGCUCACAGUUCACGAAUCUAAUAACAAAUAUUUACAGUAACCAUUUUGAUUAGUCACAGAAAGCAAGAACUUAAUGUAAAAUGUAUUGUAAGUAGAAGUCAUUUUUAUCUGUUCUGCAAGCACCUCUUCAAAUCAGCUUGUUAAUAAUGAAAAUACUGAACCAGUUAAUGUUAAUAAUAUACUUAACUCUUUGCACAUUUCACUUCUGACUGAUGGAUGAAAAUCAUUUGCUAAGGCAUUUAAUGUAUACUGCAAGAACCUGUGGUGAGUAACAACUGCAAUUUCUGUCUCUUGGCGUGUCUUUAACCAGUUCAUAAACUUCAAGCCCCUAGCAGCAACUUCCUCAUCAGUCUCCCUAACAUCUGCUUUCCACAAAUUGUCAUCAUCACUUUCCAUCAGUGAAAAAUCAAUUUGAGGGAAGAGAGAUGAAUACUCGGUAAUGGUUCUCCUCUUAUCGCAUGGAUGAACUCCUGUACGUUCUCGACAAAGUUCAACUGCCACAAUUGGUGGGCUCUUGAGACCUGAUGAUCUUUCUCCACCAAAGACUCCAACUGCUGUUUGCAUAGCCCUUAGCAAAGGGGAAGUGAUGACUAAAUCAAUUUUCUUAAACAGUCCAGAUGUGUUAACAUUGUUGCAGAGAUUGCUAACCUGCUCCAAGCCCAAUGGGGAGAGCUGAGCAUCAAAAAAUUCUGGAGAUAAUAAUGCACCAAGAUCCUUCUUUCCUGCUACAUUGUGAUUUGCUUGUGCAUGCCUCACCAGAUGAAUAAUUUUAGAGUGGCCUAAAGGGAUUAGACAUUGAGAUGUGGUAGAAUCCAUAUCAGCAGAGUCCAGGUAGCUGAAAGAGAAAAGAAAAACACAUAGUUUGCGAAGAAAAUAAGCCCGACGGAGAAUGAAAUUCCUAAUGAAAGAAAAAAAAAUCAUCCUAGUUGUGAUUCUGUGAAUAAAAACAGUAGAAUACGAGAGUACCCCAGGAAGACUGGUAUUGAGAUUCACUAACCCUAUAAUCGAAAUUCAAUCUUUAAAAGCAAGAUUUUCUUUGGUAAAAGUCAAAUUCUUGAAUAUUAAGGUACUGAAUCCAAUAUCAAAAGAGGAGAUGGCCAAACUUGCAG
rnacentral:misc_RNA from 1 species